rnacentral:rRNA from 1 species
ACGGGAGGCAGCAGUGGGGAAUAUUGGGCAAUGGGCGAAAGCCUGACCCAGCGACGCCGCGUGAGGGAAGAAGGUCUUCGGAUUGUAAACCUCUUUCAGCAGGGAAGAAGAAAGUGACAUUACCUGAAGAGUAAGCUCCGGCUAACUACGUGCCAGCAGCCGCGGUAAUACGUAGGGAGCGAGCGUUGUCCGGAUUUACUGGGUGUAAAGGGUGCGUAGGCGGGCUUGCAAGUCAGGCGUGAAAUACCGGGGCUUAACUCCGGGGCUGCGCUUGAAACUGUAAGUCUUGAGUGAAGUAGAGGCAGGCGGAAUUCCCAGUGUAGCGGUGAAAUGCGUAGAUAUUGGGAGGAACACCAGUGGCGAAGGCGGCCUGCUGGGCUUUAACUGACGCUGAGGCACGAAAGUAUGGGGAGCAAACAGGAUUAGAUACCCUGGUA